rnacentral:rRNA from 1 species
UACAGAGGGUGCGAGCGUUAAUCGGAAUUACUGGGCGUAAAGCGCACGUAGGCGGCUUGGUAUGUCGGGUGUGAAAUCCCCGGGCUCAACCUGGGAACUGCAUCCGAAACUGCCUUGCUCGAGUAUGGGAGAGGGAAGUGGAAUUUCCGGUGUAGCGGUGAAAUGCGUAGAUAUCGGAAGGAACAUCAGUGGCGAAGGCGACUUCCUGGACCAAUACUGACGCUCAUGUGCGAAAGCGUGGGGAGCAAACAGG